CUCCUGGAAACGGGUGGUAAUGCCGGAUGUUCCACAUGAGCGCAUGCGAGUGUGGGAAAGGCUUUUUGCGGCAUGGGAUGGGGUCGCGUCCUAUCAGCUUGUUGGUGGGGUAACGGCCUACCAAGGCGUUGACGGGUAGCCGGCCUGAGAGGGCGACCGGCCACAUUGGGACUGAGAUACGGCCCAGACUCCUACGGGAGGCAGCAGUGGGGAAUAUUGCACAAUGGGCGCAAGCCUGAUGCAGCGACGCCGCGUGCGGGAUGGAGGCCUUCGGGUUGUAAACCGCUUUUGUUCAAGGGCAAGGCACGGUUUCGGCCGUGUUGAAUGGAUUGUUCGAAUAAGCACCGGCUAACUACGUGCCAGCAGCCGCGGUAAUACGUAGGGUGCAAGCGUUAUCCGGAUUUAUUGGGCGUAAAGGGCUCGUAGGCGGUUCGUCGCGUCCGGUGUGAAAGUCCACCGCUUAACGGUGGAUCCGCGCCGGGUACGGGCGGGCUUGAGUGCGGUAGGGGAGACUGGAAUUCCCGGUGUAACGGUGGAAUGUGUAGAUAUCGGGAAGAACACC
rnacentral:rRNA from 1 species